GCUAAGAAUAUUCCGCAAUGGACGAAAGUCUGACGGAGCGACGCCGCGUGGAUGAAGAAGGCCGAAAGGUUGUAAAGUUCUUUUGUUGGGGAAGAAUAACCAUGGGAGGGAAUGCCCGUGGGAUGACAUGAACCGACGAAUAAGCCCCGGCUAACUACGUGCCAGCAGCCGCGGUAACACGUAGGGGGCGAGCGUUGUUCGGAAUUACUGGGCGUAAAGGGCAUGUAGGCGGUCUUGUAAGCUUGGCGUGAAAGACCACGGCUGAACCGUGGGAUUGCGUUGAGAACUGCGAGGCUUGAGUGACGGAGAGGGAGCUAGAAUUCCUGGUGUAGGGGUGGAAUCUGUAGAGAUCAGGAAGAAUACCAAUGGCGAAGGCAAGCUCCUGGCCGAUGACUGACGCUGAGGUGCGAAAGUGUGGGGAUCAAACAGGAUUAGAAACCCCUGUAGUCC
rnacentral:rRNA from 1 species